rnacentral:rRNA from 1 species
CCUACGGGAGGCUGCAGUGGGGGAUAUUGCACAAUGGGGGGAACCCUGAUGCAGCGACGCCGCGUGGGUGAAGAAGCGCCUCGGCGCGUAAAGCUCUGUCAGCAGGGAAGAAAAUGACGGUACCUGAAGAAGAAGCCCCGGCUAACUCCGGGCCAGCAGCCAAGGUAAUACGUAGGGGGCAAGCGUUAUCCGGAUUUACUGGGUGUAAAGGGGGCGCAGACGGCGUUGCAAGCCAGGAGUGAAAGCCCGAGGCGCAACCUCGGGACUGCACUUGGAACUGCGUGGCUGGAGUGCAGGAGGGGCAGGCGGAAGUCCUGGUGUAGCGGGGAAAUGCGGAGAUAUCAGGAGGAACACCGGUGGCGAAGGCGGCCUGCUGGACUGCAACUGACGUUGAGGCCCGAAAGCGUGGGGAGCAAACAGGAUUAGAUACCCCAGUAGUC